rnacentral:rRNA from 1 species
AGGACGAACGCUGGCGGCGUGCUUAACACAUGCAAGUGGAGCGACGAACCAGGGCUUGCCCUGGGGCAGAGCCGCGAACGGGUGAGUAACACGUGGGUUACCUGCCUCGAUGACCGGGACAACCCGAGGAAAACUCGGGCUAAUACCGGAUGUGCCCGCAAGGGGAAAGGAAGCUUCGGCCUCCGCAUCGAGAUGGGCCCGCGGCCCAUUAGCUUGUUGGUGAGGUAACGGCUCACCAAGGCUUCGAUGGGUAGCUGGUCUGAGAGGACGAUCAGCCACACUGGGACUGAGACACGGCCCAGACUCCUACGGGAGGCAGCAGUGGGGAAUCUUGCGCAAUGCGCGAAAGCGUGACGCAGCAACGCCGCGUGGGGGAAGAAGGCUUUCGGGUUGUAAACCCCUUUCAGUUGGGACGAAGCUUCGUCGGUGAAUAGCCGGCCGGAGUGACGGUACCUUCACAAGAAGCACCGGCUAACUACGCGCCAGCAGCCGCGGU